rnacentral:rRNA from 1 species
UACUGUCUCUUACUUCCAAUCAGUGAAAUUGACCUUCCCGUGAAGAGGCGGGAAUAAAAAAAUAAGACGAGAAGACCCUAUGGAGCUUUAACUAGUUAGCUUAAAGAAAAAAACUUUACCACCAAGGGACAACACUAAUCUUAAUAAACUAACAGUUUCGGUUGGGGUGACCUCGGAGAAUAAAAAAUCCUCCGAGCGAUUUUAAAAACAAGACACACAAGUCAAAUUGAACUAUCGCUUAUUGAUCCAAAAUUUGAUCAACGGAACAAGUUACCCUAGGGAUAACAGCGCAAUCCUAUUCAAGAGUCCAUAUCGACAAUAGGACUUGCGCUGUUAUCCCUA